rnacentral:rRNA from 1 species
GAUGAACGCCGGCGGCGUGCUUAACACAUGCAAGUCGAACGAUGAAGCCCAGCUUGCUGGGUGGAUUAGUGGCGAACGGGUGAGUAACACGUGAGUAACCUGCCCUUAACUCUGGGAUAAGCCUGGGAAACUGGGUCUAAUACCGGAUAGGAGCGCCUACCGCAUGGUGGGUGUUGGAAAGAUUUAUCGGUUUUGGAUGGACUCGCGGCCUAUCAGCUUGUUGGUGAGGUAAUGGCUCACCAAGGCGACGACGGGUAGCCGGCCUGAGAGGGUGACCGGCCACACUGGGACUGAGACACGGCCCAGACUCCUACGGGAGGCAGCAGUGGGGAAUAUUGCACAAUGGGCGAAAGCCUGAUGCAGCGACGCCGCGUGAGGGAUGACGGCCUUCGGGUUGUAAACCUCUUUCAGUAGGGAAGAAGCGAAAGUGACGGUACCUGCAGAAGAAGCACCGGCUAACUACGUG